rnacentral:rRNA from 1 species
GGUUGAUCCUGCCAGUAGUCAUAUGCUUGUUUAAAAGAUUAAGCCAUGCAAGUCUAAGUAUAUGUAUAAAUACGACGAAACUGCGAAUAGCUCAUUAUAACACUAAUAAAAAAUACAGUAAUCUUUUCUAUAUGGAUAUCCAUGGUAAUUCUGGAGCUAAUACAUGCUAGGAGUCUUGAUCUCAAGACUGCAACCAUGAUGUUCCUCAAAAUAGCUUAGGCUAAUACGUGUGAAUCAUUUGGUUUCGUGAAUCGUUUUACGAUAAACUGUGUAAGUUUGUGACCUAUCAGCUU